UACAGAGGUCCCAAGCGUUGUUCGGAUUCACUGGGCGUAAAGGGUGCGUAGGCGGUCGGGUAAGUCUGAUGUGAAAUCUCACAGCUUAACUGUGAAACUGCAUUGGAUACUAUCCGGCUCGAGGAAUGGAGGGGAGACUGGAAUACUUGGUGUAGCAGUGAAAUGCGUAGAUAUCAAGUGGAACACCAGUGGCGAAGGCGGUUCUCUGGGCCUGUACUGACGCUGAGGAGCGAAAGCGUGGGGAGCAAACGGG
rnacentral:rRNA from 1 species